rnacentral:rRNA from 1 species
GUUAUAGGGUCAAGCGAACAAGUGCAUGUGGUGGAUGCCUUGGCGAUCACAGGCGAUGAAGGACGCGGUAGCCUGCGAAAAGCUACGGGGAGCUGGCAAACAAGCUUUGAUCCGUAGAUGUCCGAAUGGGGAAACCCACUCCUUUUGGAGUAUCCAUGGCUGAAUACAUAGGCCAUGCGAAGCGAACGCGGUGAACUGAAACAUCUAAGUAACCGCAGGAAAAGAAAUCAACCGAGAUUCCCAAAGUAGUGGCGAGCGAAAUGGGAUGAGCCUUGUACUCUUUAUUUGUAUUGUUAGCCGAACGCUCUGGAAAGUGCGGCCAUAGCGGGUGAUAGCCCCGUAGGCGAAAACAGUAUGAAAGAACUAGGUGUACGACAAGUAGGGCGGGACACGUGAAAUCCUGUCUGAAGAUGGGGGGACCAUCCUCCAAGGCUAAAUACUCGUGAUCGACCGAUAGUGAACCAGUACCGUGAGGGAAAGGUGAAAAGAACCCCGGGAGGGGAGUGAAAUAGAUCCUGAAACCGCAUGCAUACAAACAGUCGGAGCCUCGUAAGGGGUGACGGCGUACCUUUUGUAUAAUGGGUCAGCGACUUACGUUCAGUAGCAAGCUUAACCGUAUAGGGCAGGCGUAGCGAAAGCGAGUCCGAAUAGGGCGUUCAGUUGCUGGGCGUAGACCCGAAACCAAGUGAUCUAUCCAUGGCCAGGAUGAAGGUGCGGUAACACGUACUGGAGGUCCGAACCCACUAACGUUGAAAAGUUAGGGGAUGAGCUGUGGAUAGGGGUGAAAGGCUAAACAAACUUGGAAAUAGCUGGUUCUCUCCGAAAACUAUUUAGGUAGUGCCUCGUGUCUCACCUUCGGGGGUAGAGCACUGUCAUGGUUGGGGGGUCUAUUGCAGAUUACCCCGCCAUAGCAAACUCCGAAUACCGAAGAGUGCAAUCACGGGAGACAGACAUCGGGUGCUAACGUCCGGUGUCAAGAGGGAAACAACCCAGACCGCCAGCUAAGGUCCCCAAAUAUAGCUAAGUGGGAAACGAAGUGGGAAGGCUAAAACAGUCAGGAGGUUGGCUUAGAAGCAGCCAUCCUUUAAAGAAAGCGUAAUAGCUCACUGAUCGAGUCGUCCUGCGCGGAAGAUGUAACGGGGCUAAGCUAUAUACCGAAGCUGCGGAUGCGUGCUUUGCACGCAUGGUAGGAGAGCGUUCCGUAAGCCUGCGAAGGUGCGUUGAAAAGCGUGCUGGAGGUAUCGGAAGUGCGAAUGCUGACAUGAGUAGCGAUAAAGGGGGUGAAAGGCCCCCUCGCCGUAAGCCCAAGGUUUCCUACGCAACGUUCAUCGGCGUAGGGUGAGUCGGCCCCUAAGGCGAGGCAGAAAUGCGUAGCUGAUGGGAAGCAGGUCAAUAUUCCUGCACCAUUGUUAAAUGCGAUGGGGGGACGGAUCGCGGAAGGUUGUCCGGGUGUUGGAAGUCCCGGUCGCUGCAUUGGAGAAGGCGCUUAGGCAAAUCCGGGCGCGGAAUUCAAGGGUGUGGCGCGAGCUUCUUAGGAAGCGAAGCAAUUGGAAGUGGUUCCAAGAAAAGCCUCUAAGCUUCAGUUUAACAAUGACCGUACCGCAAACCGACACAGGUGGGCGAGAUGAGUAUUCUAAGGCGCUUGAGAGAACUCGGGAGAAGGAACUCGGCAAAUUGGUACCGUAACUUCGGGAUAAGGUACGCCCUUGUAGCUUGAUGCCCCUGCGGGCAGAGGGUGAAGGGGUUGCAAUAAACUGGUGGCUGCGACUGUUUAA